AUUGAACGCUGGCGGCAGGCCUAACACAUGCAAGUCGAACGGAGUGGCGGACGGGUGAGUAAUGUCUGGGAAUCUGCCUGGUAGUGGGGGAUAACGUCCGGAAACGGGCGCUAAUACCGCAUACUAUCAGAUGAGCCUAGGUCGGAUUAGCUAGUUGGUGGGGUAAAGGCCUACCAAGGCGACGAUCCGUAACUGGUCUGAGAGGAUGAUCAGUAACACUGGAACCGAGACACGGUCCAGACUCCUACGGGAGGCAGCAGUGGGGAAUAGUGGACAAUGUGCGAAAGCCUGAUCCAGCCAUGCCGCGUGUGUGAAGAAGGUCUUCGGAUUGUAAAGUACGUUCAGCGGGGAGGCGUUACCCGCAGAAGAAGCACCGGCUAACUCCGUGCCAGCCGCCGCGGUAAUUC
rnacentral:rRNA from 1 species